rnacentral:tRNA from 1 species
GGACUCGUAGCUCAGUUGGUUAGAGCGCUUCUUUGACGUAGAAGAGGCCAGAGGUUCGAAUCCUCUCGGGUCCACCA